rnacentral:rRNA from 1 species
GACGAACGCUGGCGGCGUGCUUAACACAUGCAAGUCGAACGGAAAGGCCCUGCUUUUGUGGGGUGCUCGAGUGGCGAACGGGUGAGUAACACGUGAGUAACCUGCCCUUGACUUUGGGAUAACUUCAGGAAACUGGGGCUAAUACCGGAUAGGAGCUACUGCUGCAUGGUGGGGGUUGGAAAGAUUCGGCGGUUGGGGAUGGACUCGCGGCUUAUCAGCUUGUUGGUGGGGUAGUGGCUUACCAAGGCUUUGACGGGUAGCCGGCCUGAGAGGGUGACCGGCCACAAGGGGACUGAGAGACGGCGCAGACGCGUACGGGAGGCAGCAGUGGGGAAUAUUGCACAAUGGGCGGAAGCCUGAUGCAGCAACGCCGCGUGCGGGAUGACGGCUUUCGGGUUGUAAACCGCUUUCGCCUGUGACGAAGAGGGAGUGACGGUAAUGGGUAAAGAAGCACCGGCUAACUACGUG